rnacentral:rRNA from 1 species
UGGGGAAUAUUGCACAAUGGGCGCAAGCCUGAUGCAGCAACGCCGCGUGGGUGAUGAAGGCCUUUGGGUUGUAAAUCCCUUUCGGUUGGGAAAUAGGGCAGCUUGGCUAACAUCCAAGUUGUUUGAUGGUACCAAAAGAAGAAGCACCGGCUAACUUCGUGCCAGCAGCCGCGGUAAUACGAAGGGUGCAAGCGUUGUUCGGAAUGACUGGGCGUAAAGGGUUCGUAGGCGGGAAUGUAAGUUAAGUGUGAAAUCCCUGGGCUUAACCCAGGACGUGCAUUUAAAACUGCGUUUCUUGAGUACUGGAGGGGGUUGGGGAAUUGCUGGUGUAGGAGUGACAUCCGUAGAGAUCAGCAGGAACACCGGAGGCGAAGGCGCCAACCUGGACAGAUACUGACGC